UGCCCAGGGGACGUGGAUAACCUCGGGAAACUGAGGAUAAACCGCGAUAAGUCACUACUUCUGGAAUGGGUAAUGACUUAAAUCUAUAUGGCCCCUGGAUUGGACUGCGGCCGAUCAGGCUGUUGGUGAGGUAAUGGCCCACCAAACCUGUAACCGGUACGGGCUCUGAGAGGAGGAGCCCGGAGAUGGGCACUGAGACAAGGGCCCAGGCCCUAUGGGGCGCAGCAGGCGCGAAACCUCUGCAAUAGGCGAAAGCCUGACAGGGUUACUCUGAGUGAUUUCCGUUAAGGAGAUCUUUUGGCACCUCUAAAAAUGGUGCAGAAUAAGGGGUGGGCAAGUCUGGUGUCAGCCGCCGCGGUAAUACCAGCACCCCGAGUGGUCGGGACGUUUAUAGGGCCUAAAGCAUCCGUAGCCGGUUCUGCAAGUCUUCCGUUAAAUCCACCUGCUUAACAGAUGGGCCGCGGAAGAUACUAUAGAGCUAGGAGGCGGGAGAGGCAAGCGGUACUCGAUGGGUAGGGGUAAAAUCCGUUGAUCCAUUGAAGACCACCAGUGGCGAAGGCGGCUUGCCAGAACGCGCUCGACGGUGAGGGAUGAAAGCUGGGGGAGCAAACCGGAUUAGAUACCCGGGUAGUCCCAGCUGUAAACGAUGCAGACUCGGUGAUGAAUUGGCUUUAUGCCUAUUCAGUGCCGCAGGGAAGCCGUUAAGUUUGCCGCCUGGGGAGUACGGUCGCAAGACUGAAACUUAAAGGAAUUGGCGGGGGAGCACCACAAGGGGUGAAGCCUGCGGUUCAAUUGGAGUCAACGCCGGAAAUCUUACCGGGGGCGACAGCAGAAUGAAGGUCAAGCUGAAGACUUUACCAGACAAGCUGAGAGGAGGUGCAUGGCCGUCGCCAGCUCGUGCCGUGAGGUGUCCUGUUAAGUCAGGUAACGAGCGAGACCCCUGCCUCUAGUUGCUACCAUUAUUCUCAGGAGUAGUGGAGCUAAUUAGAGGGACUGCCGUCGCUGAGACGGAGGAAGGAGGGGGCUACGGCAGGUCAGUAUGCCCCGAAACCCUCGGGCCACACGCGGGCUGCAAUGGUAAGGACAAUGAGUAUCGAUUCCGAAAGGAGGAGGCAAUCUCUAAACCUUACCACAGUUAUGAUUGAGGGCUGAAACUCGCCCUCAUGAAUAUGGAAUCCCUAGUAACCGCGUGUCACUAUCGUGCGGUGAAUACGUCCCUGCUCCUUGCACACACCGCCCGUCGCUUCAUCGAAGUUGGUUCUUGGCGAGGUGAUGCCUAAUUGGUACUAUCGAACCUGGGGUCAGCAACGAGGGAG
rnacentral:rRNA from 1 species